GAGGGUAUAGCUCAGUGGUAGGGCGCAUGCUUAGCUUGCAUGAGGUCCUGGGUUCAAUUCCCAGUACCUCCA
rnacentral:tRNA from 1 species